GAUGAACGCUGGCGGCGUGCUUAACACAUGCAAGUCGAACGGAAAGGCUCCUGCUUGCAGGGGUACUCGAGUGGCGAACGGGUGAGUAACACGUGGGUGAUCUGCCCUGCACUUCGGGAUAAGCCUGGGAAACUGGGUCUAAUACCGGAUAGGACGAUGGUUUGGAUGCCAUUGUGGAAAGUUUUUUCGGUGUGGGAUGAGCUCGCGGCCUAUCAGCUUGUUGGUGGGGUAAUGGCCUACCAAGGCGUCGACGGGUAGCCGGCCUGAGAGGGUGUACGGCCACAUUGGGACUGAGAUACGGCCCAGACUCCUACGGGAGGCAGCAGUGGGGAAUAUUGCUCAAUGGGCGCUAGCCUGAUGCAGCGACGCCGCGUGGGGGAUGACGGCCUUCGGGUUGUAAACUCCUUUCGCUAGGGACGAAGCGCAAGUGACGGUACCUGGAGAAGAAGCACCGGCUAACUACGUG
rnacentral:rRNA from 1 species